rnacentral:rRNA from 1 species
GAUGAACGCUGGCGGCGUGCCUAAUACAUGCAAGUCGAGCGAAUGGAUUAAGAGCUUGCUCUUAUGAAGUUAGCGGCGGACGGGUGAGUAACACGUGGGUAACCUGCCCAUAAGACUGGAAUAACUCCGGGAAACCGGGGCUAAUACCGGAUAACAUUUUGAACCGCAUGGUUCGAAAUUGAAAGGCGGCUUCGGCUGUCACUUAUGGGUGGACCCGCGUCGCAUUAGCUAGUUGGUGAGGUAACGGCUCACCAAGGCAACGAUGCGUAGCCGCCCUGAGAGGGCGAUCGGCCACACUGGGACCGAGACACGGCCCAGACUCCUACGGGAGGUAGCAGUAGGGAAUCUUCCGCAAUGGACGAAAGUCUGACGGAGCAACGCCGCGUGAGUGAUGAAGGCUUUCGGGUCGUAAAACUCUGUUGUUAGGGAAGAACAAGUGCUAGUUGAAUAAGCUGGCACCUUGACGGUACCUAACCAGAAAGCCACGGCUAACUACGUGCCAGCAGCCGCCGUAA